rnacentral:rRNA from 1 species
AUUGAACGCUGGCGGCAGGCCUAACACAUGCAAGUCGAGCGAGCGGCGGACGGGUGAGUAAUGUAUGGGGACUGAGCGAUAGAGGGGGAUAACUAAUGGAAACGGAGGCUAAUACCGCAUACUAUCGGAUAACCCAUAUGGGAUUAGCUAGUAGGUGGGGGAAAGGCUUACCUAGGCGACGAUCUCUAGCUGGUCUGAGAGGAUGAUCAGUCACACUGGAACUGAGACACGGCCCAGACUCCUACGGAGGCAGCAGUGGGGAAUAUUGGACAAUGGGCGAAAGCCUGAUCCAGCCAUGCCGCGUGUGUGAAGAAGGCCUUAGGAUUGUAAAGUACUUUAAGCUGGGAGGCGUUACCCGCAGAAGAAGCACCGGCUAACUCCGUGCCAGCAGCCGCGGUAAUAC